rnacentral:lncRNA from 1 species
CCCCUCAAUUUUUUUUUUCACAAACAGGUCCAUCAAAUUUAUAAUUACAAAUUUGGCCCCAUCCCCGCCACGCAGACGCAAUAUUAGCGCCACGCAAGGUGGAAGGGUGUUCAAUUGAAUCGUGUUCAAACACGGUGAAUGGUUCACCGUGUUUCAUACUUAUAUUUCCCCUAUUUUUUCUUUUCAAUACUUAUAUUUUUUCGCAAUGCAUAUAUAUUUUCUAGAGACGGUGAAUCAUUCACUGUGUUCAAACACGGUGAAUGACUUACCGUGUUCCGUACUUAUAUUUUUUUUAUAUUUUUUUUCGCAAUACAUAUAAUUGUAUUUUUCCUAAAUACGACACGGUGAAUGGUUCACCAUGUUCAACUUAACAAACUAUCCUCAGUCCCGCUCACGUGGUGCUGACGUGGCACCUGCGCGGUAGGGUUAGGGCCAUUUUUGUAAAUAUUAAU